GACGAACGCUGGCGGCGUGCUUAACACAUGCAAGUCGAACGGAAAGGCCCCUUUGGGGGUCCUCGAGUGGCGAACGGGUGAGUAACACGUGAGUAACCUGCCCUUGACUUCGGGAUAACUUCAGGAAACUGGGGCUAAUACCGGAAAGGAAUCCUUGCUGCAUGGUGGGGGUUGGAAAGCUCCGGGGGUUUUGGAUGGAUUUGCGGCGUAUCAGAUUGUUGGUGGGGUAGUGGCUUACCAAGGCUUUGAGGGGAAGCCGGCCUGUGAGGGCGACAGGCGACAUUGGGACUGAGAGGCGGCCCAGACGCCGACGGGAGGCAGCAGUGGGGAAGAUUGCACAAGGGGCGGAAGCCGGAUGCAGCAACGCCGCGGGCGGGAUGACGGCCUUCGGGUUGAAAACCGAUUUCAGCAGGGGCGAAGCUUGUGGUGACGGUACCUGCAGAAGAAGCACCGGCUAACUACGUG
rnacentral:rRNA from 1 species